rnacentral:rRNA from 1 species
UACGUAGGGACCAAGCGUUGUUCGGAUUUACUGGGCGUAAAGGGCGCGUAGGCGGCAUGACAAGUCACUUGUAAAAUCUCCGGGCUUAACUCGGAACGGUCAAGUGAUACUGUCGCGCUAGAGUGCGGAAGGGGCAAUCAGAAUUCUUGGUGUAGCGGUGAAAUGCGUAGAUAUCAAGAGGAAUACCUGAGGUGAAGACGGGUUGCUAGGCCGACACUGACGCUGAAGCGCGAAAGCCAGGGGAGCAAACGGG